rnacentral:rRNA from 1 species
CAGCCGCCACGGUAAUACGUAGGGUCCGAGCGUUGUCCGGAAUUACUGGGCGUAAAGCGCACGUAGGCUGCUUUGUAAGUCAGAGGUGAAAGCCCGGGGCUCAACCCCGGAUGUGCCUUUGAGACUGCAGGGCUAGAACGUCGGAGAGGUGAGUGGAAUUCCGAGUGUAGAGGUGAAAUUCGUAGAUAUUCGGAAGAACACCAGUGGCGAAGGCGGCUCACUGGACGACUGUUGACGCUGAGGUGCGAAAGCGUGGGGAGCAAACAGGAUUAGAUACCCCCGUAGUCCCUGUCUCUUAUAC